GGGUUUAAAGUUUAAUUGUAGACCUGCUGAAUGAGGGGAUCGGAAGAAAUCUCAAAUCCAUCUCCCUGAAGAGUUUGGGACUAGAGAAUUCUUAUUAGCGCUGUGAGGAUGACUUCAGCAUGACUUUAUUGGGAAAGGACAAGUGGAAGCACCACCAAGCACCACACUUGGUCUCUCCUGAACCCUGCUCUAGGCAACUCUUCCCUUUGUUGAUUUUAACGUGUAUCCUUUCAUUGUAAUAAACUGUUGGUGAACAUAA